rnacentral:rRNA from 1 species
GAUGAACGCUGGCGGCGUGCCUAAUACAUGCAAGUCGAGCGAACGGACGAGAAGCUUGCUUCUUUGAUGUUAGCGGCGGACGGGUGAGUAACACGUGGAUAACCCACCUAUAAGACUGGGAUAACUUCGGGAAACCGGAGCUAAUACCGGAUGAUCUUUUGAACCGCAUGGUUCAAAAGUGAAAGACGGUCUUGCUGUCACUUAUAGAUGGAUCUGCGCUGCAUUAGCUGGUUGGUAAGGUAACGGCUUACCAAGGCAACGAUGCAUAGCCGACCUGAGAGAGGGGUCGGCCACCCUGGAGCGUGAACGCGGUCCAUACUCCUGCGGGAGGCAGCAGUAGGGAAUGUUCGGCAAUAGGCGAGAGCCUGACGGAGCAGGGCGGCGUGAGUGAUGGAGAUCUUCGGAUCGUGAAGCUCUGUUAUUAGGGAAAAACAUAUGUGUAAGUAGCUGUGCACAUCUUGACGGUACCUAGUCAGAAAGCCACGGCUAACUACGUG